UUCUUUCAAAAAUGAAAAGAUUACAAUGAAAAGAUCUUAAUACCCACCUUAAGUAACGAAAUGUGUUAAAAUAAUACAAGUCGGCAGACUUUUAUGAGAGCAAGUUUUAUAUUAAACUUACGGUUGUCAUUUGAUAUCAAUUAUUUAUUUAUUUCAUCUACCGAUUCUACCAAAUUUUCGUAUUUUAUCUCCAAAAUAUUGGGAAAACUUGAGGACUUAUAAACACAUGAUGAAAAUUAUAGCCAUAAAAGGCAAUAGUUGGAUGCAAUUUUUACCGGUCAUCUUUUCCAUCAAAAAAGGAUUUUCGAUGGAUUUUAAUAAAGUUCGGAGUAGAAAUUAGCCGCAUCAUUUAAGUAGAACAUAUAUGACUCGUCGUAAAAAUUGUAAAAUUUUUUUUAUAUUUAACAAAUAUAGUUGCUUAUUUUAAUUUGUAUGCGUAAAA